UACAGAGGUGGCAAGCGUUGUUCGGAAUUACUGGGCGUAAAGGGCACGUAGGCGGCCUUGUAAGUCCUGUGUGAAAUCCCCCGGCUCAACUGGGGAACUGCACAGGAGACUGCUUGGCUUGAGUUCGGUAGAGGGAAGCGGAAUUCCGGGUGUAGCGGUGAAAUGCGUAGAUAUCCGGAGGAACACCGGUGGCGAAGGCGGCUUCCUGGACCGACACUGACGCUGAGGCGCGAAAGCCAGGGGAGCAAACGGG
rnacentral:rRNA from 1 species